rnacentral:rRNA from 1 species
AGAGUUUGAUCCUGGCUCAGGACGAACGCUGGCGGCACGCUUAACACAUGCAAGUCGAACGAGAGAAGAGGAGCUUGCUUUUCUGAUCUAGUGGCGGACGGGUGAGUAACACGUGAGCAAUCUGCCUUUCAGAGGGGGAUACCGAUUGGAAACGAUCGUUAAUACCGCAUAACAUAAUUGAACCGCAUGAUUUGAUUAUCAAAGAUUUAUCGCUGAAAGAUGAGCUCGCGUCUGAUUAGCUAGUUGGUAAGGUAACGGCUUACCAAGGCGACGAUCAGUAGCCGGACUGAGAGGUUGAUCGGCCACAUUGGGACUGAGACACGGCCCAGACUCCUACGGGAGGCAGCAGUGGGGAAUAUUGCACAAUGGAGGAAACUCUGAUGCAGCGAUGCCGCGUGAGGGAAGAAGGUUUUAGGAUUGUAAACCUCUGUCUUCAGGGACGAAAAAAGACGGUACCUGAGGAGGAAGCUCCGGCUAACUACGUGCCAGCAGCCGCGGUAAUACGUAGGGAGCGAGCGUUGUCCGGAAUUACUGGGUGUAAAGGGAGCGUAGGCGGGAUCGCAAGUCAGAUGUGAAAACUAUGGGCUUAACCCAUAAACUGCAUUUGAAACUGUGGUUCUUGAGUGAAGUAGAGGUAAGCGGAAUUCCUAGUGUAGCGGUGAAAUGCGUAGAUAUUAGGAGGAACAUCAGUGGCGAAGGCGGCUUACUGGGCUUUAACUGACGCUGAGGCUCGAAAGCGUGGGGAGCAAACAGGAUUAGAUACCCUGGUAGUCCACGCCGUAAACGAUGAUUACUAGGUGUGGGGGGACUGACCCCUUCCGUGCCGCAGCAAACGCAAUAAGUAAUCCACCUGGGGAGUACGACCGCAAGGUUGAAACUCAAAGGAAUUGACGGGGGCCCGCACAAGCAGUGGAGUAUGUGGAUUAAUUCGAAGCAACGCGAAGAACCUUACCAGGUCUUGACAUCGUAUGCAUAGCUCAGAGAUGAGUGAAAUCUCUUCGGAGACAUAUAGACAGGUGGUGCAUGGUUGUCGUCAGCUCGUGUCGUGAGAUGUUGGGUUAAGUCCCGCAACGAGCGCAACCCUUACUGUUAGUUGCUACGCAAGAGCACUCUAGCAGGACUGCCGUUGACAAAACGGAGGAAGGUGGGGAUGACGUCAAAUCAUCAUGCCCCUUAUGACCUGGGCCUCACACGUACUACAAUGGCUGUCAACAGAGGGAAGCAAAGCCGCGAGGUGGAGCGAACCCCUAAAAGCAGUCUUAGUUCGGAUUGUAGGCUGCAACCCGCCUACAUGAAGUCGGAAUUGCUAGUAAUCGCAGAUCAGCAUGCUGCGGUGAGUACGUUCCCGGGCCUUGUACACACCGCCCGUCACGCCAUGGGAGUCGGUAGCACCCGAAGCCUGUAGUCUAACCGCAAGGAGGACGCAGUCGAAGGUGGGAUUGAUGACUGGGGUGAAGUCGUAACAAGGUA